AUUAGAGGCAAUGCCUGCCCAGUG
rnacentral:piRNA from 1 species